rnacentral:lncRNA from 1 species
AGAUCAUUCAAAUUACAUUUUACAUUUUAUCUAUGAGUCACAUAGGUUAUAGUUUAUUGUCACAAUUUUUUUUAGUUACAAACACCUAAUUUUUUGUUACAAAUCAGCAAAAUAGUUGGUCAUAAACAAAUAAAUAUUUGGUCACGGAUUCCAAAUUGUUGGUUACAGAUUCCAAACAACCCAUUACACAGGUCCCGAUCCAACACCAAUCUUGACCACAAAUUACUACCACCCAAUUAACGCUUGCACCAAACCACUGCAACCACCACACCCAAUCUAGAUCCCAUUCCACCACAAUACUUGGUCACAUACACUAUUCACCCCACCACAAAACCAUCACAACCACCGCCAACACUACCACCACCGUAUGAAAACCACCACUACACCAAUGAUUGGUAACAGCUCAAAUAGUCGGUGACAUAUCACCACCAACUCCAUCACAACCAUUACCACUUGCAACCACCAGAUCCACCACCACAGCACCGUUGCCUACACCACAUUAGGGUUGAUUCACUGGCUUCAACUUGGCAAAAACACUGAUCGGGCACAGAGGCAAAACCAUGGAUCAUCGUGAUCUGUGCGUACCUGCCAACCACAGAUCGUGCAAAGAUGCCCCACACUAGAAUCGCACAAAGCGACGACUACUUACAACGACGAGCUCUGUUGUAGUAUUCGACGAUGGCGGCCAUUGUGGCGAAGAGGAUAGAGAGACAGAGGGAGAAGAGGAUGGAAAGAAGAAGGGAAGAAAAAUGGAGAAGAGGCAAUUGGAGCUCCUUGCUUGCAACAACGAUCUCCAUUGUAGUGUCCGACGAUGGCGCCCAAAUCUAACGAGGAGGGGAGAGAGAGAGGAUGGGAAGAAGAGGAUGUCGUGUGUUUAGAGAGAGAGAGAGAGAUAAGUAAGUUAGGGUUUGGUACAAUUGGGGGAAUAUUAAUAUUUUCAAAACUUGGAAUCUGAAUAAAAAACUUUCUAGCCUGACUUUUCCACUGAGAUUUUCAAAUAUCGGGAAUUCUGUAAUUUCCUCUUAUUAUUUUUUUAAAAAAUGAGCUGGCUCGUGGUCUCUUGGAUGGCUCGGCCUAUGAAGCCCAUGAGCCAAAGGAUCGAACAAAACCUAGACUUGAGCUCGUGUAUCUUAGAUUUGCCCAUGAGCCAAAGGGUUGAACCUAACGUAGUUUGUAAACACGAGCCAAGCUUGGGUGUCUUGGAUCGACCCAUUACCAUCUCAAUCCAUAAGUAUGGAACCUAUUUGUAGCAAUUAGGUGAUGGCUC